rnacentral:tRNA from 1 species
UAAGAUUGAAGCAAACAUUUGCAUUCAAUUUCGACCUGAAUAAAUGAAAUAUUUCCAAUCUUAU